GCUUCUUUCCGGUCAGCGAACGGACCCGGAGACGGCAGGAAAGUUUGCAUCUUGAGCGGAUAGUUCGCGCUUGUGCCGGAGAAUCCUGCAUCAUAAAGACGUGUGGAAGACGAGAGGAUAAAGGAGAGAGGCUGGAGUUUGUUGACAGUUUUGAGAUUUCUUUGUGGCCUCAAACAAGGACAUGUUGGAAGAAGAGGAAACACAGGAACCCGGGGGGCUCGGCCCCCACCCGGCCCACCUCCCACCGCGCCAGGACCCGGGGUUACACGGGAUUCGAACCAUAUCUGCAACACUCCGUGUCACAGAGGCUUAACCAAGCCGGAACGCUCCCCGCUGCCCCACCGAACCCCUACGCACUCAGACCUGUUCGGAACUUCUAUUUAUUCUUCACAUCACUGUGGAGAGAAAAUCUGGAAAACAUCAGCAGGAGGAAGUCUGGAUUUGAUCCACCAACCCCAGGUAUCAGCACCAGCAACUUAUCAUACUGAGCUGUACCUGAGCAUACUAUGGGUUGCUCGGAACUUCUAUUUACUGCUCACAUUAGUCCGUAGAGAAAAUUGCUAAAGUUUCACCGGAAGGAAACCAGGAUUUGAUCCAGCAACCUCAGCUUCAGAACCAGCAACCACAUCAGCAUCUUAUCACACUGAGCUGUACCUGAGCUUACUAUGACCUGCUUGGAACUUCUAUUUAGUGCUCACAUUAGUCUGAAGAGAAAACAUUGAAAACAUUACCAGGAGAAAACCAGGGUUUGAUCCAGCAACCUCAGCUUCAGAACCAGCAACCAUAUCAGCAACUUAUCUCACUGAGCUGUACUUGAGCUUACAAUGAUCUGCUUGGAACUUCUACUUGUUGUUCACAUCACUCUGAAGCGAAAACAUUGAAAACAUUACUGGAGAGAAGCCUGGACUUGAUCCAGUAACCUCAGCUUCCGCACCAGCAACUAUAUCAGCAUCUUAUCUCACUGAGCUGUACCUGAGCUUGCUGUGUUCUGCUCAGAACUUCUAUUUAUUGCUCACAUUAGUCUGAAGAGACAACAUUGAAAACCAAUGCAAGGACAGUUUGGAUUUGAUCCAGCAAAUAGCAGCAACUCAUCACACUGAGCUAUACCUGAGGCUGUCAAAGUGUUGCUUGGAUGUUGUAUUUGUCAUUCUAAUGUUUGAGGAGAAAAGCUUGAAAACUGUCACAACAGGUGAGCUUAGAUUUGAUCCUUCAACCUCAGGUAUCUGCCCAAUCAAGCACAUGAGCAUCUCAUCUCACUGAGCUGUACCUGAGCUUGCUAUGUGCUGCUUAGAUGUUGUAUGUAUGACUCUAGUUGAUCCAGCAGCCCAACAUCAUCAAGUAGCAUCACUUUGUCUCAAUGAGCUUCACCUGAGGUUGCAAAUGUCUGUGUUGGAUUGUGGAAGGUUGGGUUUUUGUUGCUUUUCUCCACAAUUUGAGGAGAAAAAGCAUCAGAGUUUCAUUGGAAGAUAAACUGGAUUUGAACCCUCCACCUUCUAUCAAUCUAUCAGAUAUCAACAGCCUUCCUCACUGAGCUGGACAGUUGUGCUGGUUCCUUGUUGUUUUCAUUGUUACUGAAGGUAAGACUGAAAAUUUUCAGAACAAGCUUGGAUUUGAUCCUCUAACCUCAGAAAUUCAGUUCACAUGUUGGCUUUGAAAUCUUCAAGACCCACCAUUUAAAUACUGGCAGAUUGGUUAUGACGGAUGAAGUGAGUCCGUCGAGGCUGAAGUGAGCGGUGCAGCUCAUGCACAUAUACUAUCGUGUGAAUAUGAGAGUUGUUGUCAGUGUAGUUACUGACAGUGACCACUGGAGGGCAGUCAUCUCUGUCGCUCGCUGUUCUUGCUGUUUGAAAACGGCACAGCAAGUGUCGAGCACUGUCACUAUUUUCACCAUAAUUUUCUUGUUUUUUAUUUUAUUUAUAAUCAUCAGCAUGUUUCUUCAAAAAUAAAGUGGUUUAAUUGUUUAAUUGUAACCGUUCAUCACCUGUGUAAACCAAAGCUAAUGAUACAGUUUGUUCAAUAAAACGCUGCAGGAAACCUC